CUUUUCGAGGUAGGAGUCGACUCCUGUGAGGUAUGGUGCUGGGUGCAGAUGCAGUGUGGCUCUGGAUAGCACCUUAUGGACAGUUGUGUCCCCAAGGAAGGAUGAGAAUAGCUACUGAAGUCCUAAAGAGCAAGCCUAACUCAAGCCAUUGGCACACAGGCAUUAGACAGAAAGCUGGAAGUUGAAAUGGUGGAGUCCAACUUGCCUGGACCAGCUUAAUGGUUCUGCUCCUGGUAACGUUUUUAUCCAUGGAUGACUUGCUUGGGUAUGGAGAGUCGGCUUGACUACACUGUGUGGAGCAAGUUUUAAAGAAGCAAAGACCUGUUAUCCUAAACUAGGGUUUUUAAUGACCACAACAAGCAAGCAUGCAGCUUACUGCUUGAAAGGGUCUUGCCUCACCCAAGCUAGAGUGCAGUGGCCUUUGAAGCUUACUACAGCCUCAAACUUCUGGGCUCAAGUGAUCCUCAGCCUCCCAGUGGUCUUUGUAGACUGCCUGAUGGAGUCUCAUGGCACAAGAAGAUUAAAACAGUGUCUCCAAUUUUAAUAAAUUUUUGCAAUCCA
rnacentral:lncRNA from 1 species